UCCACGCUGUAAACGAUGAGUACUAGCUGUUGGAUCUGGUGUAAAAGAUUUAGUGGCGCAGCUAACGCGUUAAGUACUCCGCCUGGGGACUACGGCCGCAAGGCUAAAACUCAAAGGAAUUGACGGGGACCCGCACAAGCGGUGGAGCAUGUGGUUUAAUUCGAUGCAACGCGAAGAACCUUACCUACCCUUGACAUCCACAGAACUUUCCAGAGAUGGAUCGGUGCCUUCGGGAACUGUGAGACAGGUGCUGCAUGGCUGUCGUCAGCUCGUGUUGUGAAAUGUUGGGUUAAGUCCCGCAACGAGCGCAACCCUUAUCUUUAGUUGCCAUCAGGUAAUGCUGGGCACUCUAGAGAGACUGCCGCUG
rnacentral:rRNA from 1 species